AAUCAACGCUGGCGGCGUGCCUCAGACAUGCAAGUCGAACGCGAAAGCUCCCUUCGGGGAGCAAGUAGAGUGGCGCACGGGUGAGUAACACGUAGGUAAUCUACCUUUGGAUGGGGAAUAACAACCGGAAACGGUUGCUAAUACCGCAUAAUGCAGCGGCACCUAAUGGUGACAGUUGUUAAAGCGGGGGAUCGCAAGACCUCGCGUCUGUAGAGGAGCCUGCGGCGGAUUAGCUAGUUGGUAAGGUAACGGCUUACCAAGGCGAUGAUCCGUAGCCGGCCUGAGAGGGCGGUCGGCCACACUGACACUGACAUACGGGUCAGACUCCUACGGGAGGCAGCAGUCGGGAAUUUUGGGCAAUGGGCGAAAGCCUGACCCAGCAACGCCGCGUGAAGGAUGAAAUCCCUCGGGAUGUAAACUUCGCAAGAACGGGAAGAAUAAGUAAGAGCUAACAUCUCUUACGAUGACGGUACUGUUUGUAAGCUCCGGCUAACUCCGUGCCAGCACG
rnacentral:rRNA from 1 species